AGUUAUAGUAGAGUUGGGAAUGGUCGA
rnacentral:piRNA from 1 species